rnacentral:rRNA from 1 species
GAACGCUAGCGGCAGGCUUAACACAUGCAAGUCGAGGGGCAGCGGGGAGGAAGCUUGCUUUCUCCGCCGGCGACCGGCGCACGGGUGAGUAACACGUAUGCAACCUGCCCCUGUCAGGGGGACAACCCGCCGAAAGGCGGGCUAAACCCGCGUACAUGCCACCGGGGCAUCCCGGAGGCAGGAAAGGCUUCGGCCGGACAGGGAUGGGCAUGCGGCGCAUUAGGCAGUAGGCGGGGUAACGGCCCACCUAACCGACGAUGCGUAGGGGUUCUGAGAGGAAGGUCCCCCACACUGGUACUGAGACACGGACCAGACUCCUACGGGAGGCAGCAGUGAGGAAUAUUGGUCAAUGGUCGGGAGACUGAACCAGCCAAGCCGCGUGAGGGAGGAAGGUACAGAGUAUCGUAAACCUCUUUUGUCAGGGAACAAAGACUGGGACGCGUCCCCGGAUGAGUGUACCUGAAGAAAAAGCAUCGGCUAACUCCGUGCCAGCAGCCGCGGUAAUACGGAGGAUGCGAGCGUUAUCCGGAUUUAUUGGGUUUAAAGGGUGCGCAGGCGGUCUGUUAAGUCAGCGGUCAAAGCCCGGGGCUCAACCCCGGCCCGCCGUUGAAACUGGCAGUCUCGAGUUGGAGAGAAGUAUGCGGAAUGCGCGGUGUAGCGGUGAAAUGCAUAGAUAUCGCGCAGAACUCCGAUUGCGAAGGCAGCAUGCCGGCUCCACACUGACGCUGAGGCACGAAAGCGUGGGUAUCGAACAGGAUUAGAUACCCUGGUAGUCCACGCAGUAAACGAUGAAUGCUGGCUGUCCGGGGGGACUGACCCCUGGGUGGCGAAGCGAAAGCGAUAAGCAUUCCACCUGGGGAGUACGCCGGCAACGGUGAAACUCAAAGGAAUUGACGGGGGCCCGCACAAGCGGAGGAACAUGUGGUUUAAUUCGAUGAUACGCGAGGAACCUUACCCGGGCUCAAACGGGGAGUGGCGCAGGCAGAGACGCCUGUUUCCCACGGGACACUCCCCGAGGUGCUGCAUGGUUGUCGUCAGCUCGUGCCGUGAGGUGUCGGCUUAAGUGCCAUAACGAGCGCAACCCCCGCGUGCAGUUGCUAACAGUCAACGCUGAGGACUCUGCACGGACUGCCGGCGCAAGCCGCGAGGAAGGCGGGGAUGACGUCAAAUCAGCACGGCCCUUACGUCCGGGGCGACACACGUGUUACAAUGGGUGGUACAGCGGGAAGCCAGGCGGCGACGCCGAGCGGAACCCGAAAUCCACUCUCAGUUCGGAUCGGAGUCUGCAACCCGACUCCGUGAAGCUGGAUUCGCUAGUAAUCGCGCAUCAGCCAUGGCGCGGUGAAUACGUUCCCGGGCCUUGUACACACCGCCCGUCAAGCCAUGGGAGCCGAGGGCGCUUGAAGUGCGUCGCCGCGAGGCGCGCCCUAGAGCGAAGUCGGUGACU